rfam:Nematostella vectensis strain CH2 x CH6 NEMVEscaffold_1_Cont152, whole genome shotgun sequence.
CAUAAUCAACGAGAGUGUCAACCUGCCGCGAAGGUCUAUGAGUGGUCUGUUGCUCCUCUUUGUGGAGC